UGGGGAAUAUUGCACAAUGGGCGAAAGCCUGAUGCAGCGACGCCGCGUGAGGGAUGACGGCCUUCGGGUUGUAAACCUCUUUCAGCAGGGACGAAGCGCAAGUGACGGUACCUGCAGAAGAAGCACCGGCUAACUACGUGCCAGCAGCCGCGGUAAUACGUAGGGUGCAAGCGUUGUCCGGAAUUACUGGGCGUAACGAGUUCGUAGGCGGUUUGUCGCGUCGUUUGUGAAAACCAGCAGCUCAACUGCUGGCUUGCAGGCGAUACGGGCAGACUUGAGUACUGCAGGGGAGACUGGAAUUCCUGGUGUAGCGGUGAAAUGCGCAGAUAUCAGGAGGAACACCGGUGGCGAAGGCGGGUCUCUGGGCAGUAACUGACGCUGAGGAACGAAAGCGUGGGUAGCGAACAGG
rnacentral:rRNA from 1 species